UCCUACGGGAGGCAGCAGGAGGAAUAUUGGACAAUGGGCGCAAGCCUGAUCCAGCCAUGCCGCGUGCAGGAUGACGGUCCUAUGGAUUGUAAACUGCUUUUGUACGAGAAGAAACACUGAUUCGUGAAUCAGCUUGACGGUAUCGUAAGAAUAAGGAUCGGCUAACUCCGUGCCAGCAGCCGCGGUAAUACGGAGGGUCCAAGCGUUAUCCGGAAUUAUUGGGUUUAAAGGGUCCGUAGGCGGUUUAGUAAGUCAGUGGUGAAGGCCCAUCGCUCAACGGUGGAACGGCCAUUGAUACUGCUGAACUUGAAUUAUUAGGAAGUAACUAGAAUAUGUAGUGUAGCGGUGAAAUGUUUAGAGAUUACAUGGAAUACCAAUUGCGAAGGCAGGUUACUACUAAUUGAUUGACACUGAUGGACGAAAGCGUGGGGAGCGAACAGGAUUAGAUACCCUGGUAGUCCACGCCGUAAACGGUGGAUACUAGCUGUUGGGAGCAAUUUCAGUGGCUAAGCGAAAGUGAUAAGUAUCCCACCUGGGGAGUACGUUCGCAAGAAUGAAACUCAAAGGAAUUGACGG
rnacentral:rRNA from 1 species